rnacentral:lncRNA from 1 species
AACUUUAUCCCCUUUAAUAUAUUACUAGUUUAGUACCCCGUGCAAUGCAACGGGUAGAUAAUAUAAAGAAAAAUAAAAAGUAAUAAUGAUAUAUUAUUUUACAAAUUCUUAAGUCAAUACAUAAGAAUAUUAAAAAUUUCAUAUUUUAUUAUUUAUAAAUUAUUCAAACGUAUAGAUAAUUUUUACAUUUAAGCUCAACAAUUCAAAAAUAAAUAAAUACAUUACAUGCUCACUAAAUAGACUUUGUGAUCACACUAUAUAUAUUACACAAAUACAUAUAAGUGAGGCAUAAAAGUUUAAUACAAAUAAAAUAAAAAGUAGUUUACAUCAAAAUUGAUAAUAAAUUAAUAUAAAUAUCAAUAGCUUUUUCUUAAUGAUACAUUAAUUAAAAAGUGGGCGGAUGGGAAGACGAAGCAUCGGGUAGAAAUAGGAAUGAGAAGGCGAAACAUCAAAGAGUGGGGUAAAAGAGAAAUUGCCACGUGGCAAACUCCAUGAGAAAUAAUGAAUAGAAUAUAGAUAUAGAUAUAGAUUAUUGUCUCUAUAUAUUAUUGGUUAUUCCCUUU